CGACUGGCGCCGCAGUCCGUCGUCGUUGUCGACGACAUGCCCAGGUAGCCCUGGUCUUCGAGGCUACGGCGCUACCGCGCUGACCAUCCCGUUCGCUACGCAUCCCUAAAGGCGAACACACCACUGCCUCCCACAUGCGGUGGGCGGAUGC
rfam:Pseudomonas sp. EGD-AK9 Contig_1, whole genome shotgun sequence.